rnacentral:rRNA from 1 species
AGUUAGUGGCGCACGGGUGAGUAACGCGUGGGGACGUGCCCAUGGGUGGGGGAUAACUAAGGGAAACUUUAGCUAAUACCGCAUAAGCCCUGAGGGGGAAAGAUUUAUCGCCGAUGGAGCGACCCGCGUCAGAUUAGGUAGUUGGUAGGGUAAAAGCCUACCAAGCCGACGAUCUGUAGCUGUUCUUAGAGGAAGAUCAGCCACACUGGAACUGAGACACGGUCCAGACUCCUACGGGAGGCAGCAGUGGGGAAUAUUGGACAAUGGGGGAAACCCUGAUCCAGCAAUGCCGCGUGAGUGAAGAAGGCCUUCGGGUUGUAAAGCUCUUUUAGAUGAGACGAUGAUGACGGUAUCAUCAGAAAAAGCACCGGCUAACUCUGUGCCAGCAGCCGCGGUAAUACAGAGGGUGCUAGCGUUGUUCGGAAUUACUGGGCGUAAAGAGCGCGUAGGCGGCCUGUUGAGUUAAGUGUGAAAGCCCAAGGCUUAACCUUGGAACUGCAUUUUACACUGGCAGGCUAGAGGUCGCAAGAGGACAGUGGAAUUCCUAGUGUAGAGGUGAAAUUCGU